UACGUAGGGUGCAAGCGUUAAUCGGAAUUACUGGGCGUAAAGCGUGCGUAGGCGGUUUCUUAAGUCAGAUGUGAAAGCCCCGGGCUUAACCUGGGAACUGCGUUUGAAACUGGGAGACUUGAGUGUGGCAGAGGGGGGUGGAAUUCCACGUGUAGCAGUGAAAUGCGUAGAUAUGUGGAGGAACACCGAUGGCGAAGGCAGCCCCCUGAGUUAACACUGACGCUCAUGCACGAAAGCGUGGGGAGCAAACAGG
rnacentral:rRNA from 1 species